rnacentral:tRNA from 3 species
GAUCCCGUAGCUCAAUUGGAUAGAGCAAUUCCCUCCUAAGGAAUAGGCUGUGUGUUCAAACCACAUCGGGAUCGCCA